rnacentral:hammerhead_ribozyme from 1 species
GUACUGCUGAGGAGUCCCAUACUAAGACGAAACGGCCGUUCAGUGC